UUGGAGGGCAAGUCUGGUGCCAGCAGCCGCGGUAAUUCCAGCUCCAAUAGCGUAUAUUAAAGUUGUUGCAGUUAAAAAGCUCGUAGUUGAAUUUCGGGAUCAAUAUAUCGGUCGUGCCUUGGUACGUACUGGUAUCAUUGGUUUCUCCUUUCUGACGAACCAUGAUGUCAUUAAUUUGGUGUUAUGGGAAGUUAGGACUGUUACUUUGAAAAAAUUAGAGUGUUUAAAGCAGGCUUUAGCUUGAAUACAUUAGCAUGGAAUAAUGAAAUAGGACGUUCGAACCUAUUUUGUUGGUUUCUAGGAUCAACGUAAUGAUUAAUAGGGAUAGUUGGGGGCAUUAGUAUUCAAUUGUCGGAGGUGAAAUUCUUGGAUUUAUUGAAGACUAACUACUGCGAAAGCAUUUGCCAAGGAUGUUUUCAUUAAUCAAGAACGAAAGUUAGGGGAUCGAAGACGAUCAGAUACCGUCGUAGUCUUAACCAUAAACUAUGCCGACUAGGGAUCGGAUGAUGUUAAUUUUUUAAUGACUCAUUCGGCGCCUUACGGGAAAC
rnacentral:rRNA from 1 species